GGGCUAUUCCCCUCCCGAUACUGCCAGUGUGAGCUCUGAUCCCCUUUGGCGUGGGAGUGAUGAAAGGAUGCUGUAAGCCUUUUCCAGGGUGUACCACUAUACCAUCCUUAUCUUAAAGGGAGGAGAAAACCCAAAGUCUUCCCAAAAUCAAUGGGAUUCAUAGAGAUUUAACAGCGUUGCUGAAUAGAAGAUUCAAGGAUUUCACAGCAGAAGAAAUUACUAUCACUGAUUUAGAGGAAGAAUGACAGAGAAAACACAUAUGUUGUGGAUUGACUUAUCUUGACCGCUCUUUUAAAAGCAAGAAGAAAGCAUUAUUGCUGAGACAGCUUCAAGGAGGUCUUUAGCAUGUAAAGAAAGCAUGCAAGAAUUAAUAGCAGUUGGGCUAAGACUUGGGAGAACCAAGGAAUUACGAGAAUAAAAAAGAAAAACAG
ensembl:lncRNA